UUUGAAAAAAUAAACAAAUCUUCUCCUACCCGAGGAGGAGCCAGGAGACCUCCUCGCCCUCUCUCGCUGUAACCCUUCUAAGUCGUUUGAAAUGAAUUUUCCUGUCUUUCGGCUAUCUGUCAAUGUCACAUCCACGCUGCCUGCACGGGGUGUGGGUAAGCAGGGGGCGGAUGGGAAGAGUCCUUGCGCGUUUCUGGUCCCGCGCGAAGGGGUCUUCCUCCCCACGCCGUUGCCCCACUGACCCACCCUCCAUUCUAUUCCCCUUGGCCCCACCACCAAUACGGCUCCGGGAGGGCAGUUGUGACUUCGGGCGGGAUUUUGUACUGUCGCCGGGUCGUGACGUGAGGUGUCUUUUGGGUGAGCGAUCAUGCUCCUUCCGCUCGGGAGGAUCACCGGGGCCGUCUGAUCGGGAUGGGGAGAGAAGAGAGGGCAAAAUGCAGGGGGGAGCUUAGGACGUAGCCUUCCUCCUGAAACCGCACUCGUCACUGUAGUCUUCGUCGUCAGCGAAGGGAGGACUAACUAACGUUGCCGCGAAAAUUUUUGCUCUGCAGAGGGAAGAGAAAGAUGAGAAAGAAAAACAAGUCCAAACUCCUAUGCUGUUGACAAUGUUUCGGCAAACGGAGUGCUCGUCUGUCUGUCGUGAAACCCCCGAGGAGGAGAGGGAGUGUGCCUUGGCCUCCGAGCGUCCCUCUGCCCCGGCGGGGAGGCUGGGACGCGGGGCGAGUGGGUUUUCAGCACCUCCUAAUUACAGCCUAACACCUAUUGAGAGAGAGAGAGACUCCACAAAGAUUCCACGGAGCCAAAUCCGAGUAAUCCUAUCCAAAAUCCCUAAUAAAGUUUAUCAAUUAGACCACUCAAACUCCUUCGGAUUCAUUCCACUGAGAAAGAAGCUGCCACGUUUCUGAGAAAAUUAGUUUAAACGAGCAAUUCAGUAUCAUUCCUAUCCCGCUUUGCUUGCAAAGCAGCGUCUGGUGAUUCAAUGUUUACUAUUACUUUUCCCCCGUCUCAUAGGCCACUUUUCCUCAGGGUAUCGCAGGAAUGAUGCAAACGAUAGAAGCCUCCCAGUUCUACUAAAAACAAUGAUAAUGGCAUCAACAGCGCUUGCGAUGAUCCCACAGCAGACCGGUGAUUUAAAGCCUGAUUCACUCUUUGUUGGUUUUACCUCCUACAGUAACUUUUAAAACAUCUGUCCUGCGGAAAGAGAAUUUCUUCUGCGCAAAAGUGAUGUUUAGUCUUUAAAUACGGGGGUUAUAAUGGAGCCCUGAAAAGGCGAGGAGUGAUUUUGGGAAAUAUUAUAUACAUACACACUAUUUAGCGUUAUCAAUCUUUACCUCGGCUAUUGACACUUGCCUUGGAAAUAAUAAUAAAAAUUACACAGAAUUGAACAG